GGAUAACCUGCCCUUGGGUCCGGCAUAACCCCGGGAAACUGGGGAUAAUUCCGGAUAACGCACAUAUGCUGGAAUGCUUUAUGCGUAAAAUGGAUUCGUCUGCCCAAGGAUGGGUCUGCGGCCUAUCAGGUAGUAGUGGGUGUAAUGUACCUACUAGCCUACAACGGGUACGGGUUGUGAGAGCAAGAGCCCGGAGAUGGAUUCUGAGACAUGAAUCCAGGCCCUACGGGGCGCAGCAGGCGCGAAAACUUUACAAUGCGGGAAACCGUGAUAAGGGGACACCGAGUGCUAGCAUCAUAUGCUGGCUGUCCAGGUGUGUAAAAUACACCUGUUAGCAAGGGCCGGGCAAGACCGGUGCCAGCCGCCGCGGUAACACCGGCGGCCCGAGUGGUGAUCGUGAUUAUUGGGUCUAAAGGGUCCGUAGCCGGUUUGGUCAGUCCUCCGGGAAAUCUGACAGCUCAACUGUUAGGCUUUCGGGGGAUACUGCCAGACUUGGAACCGGGAGAGGUAAGAGGUACUACAGGGGUAGGAGUGAAAUCUUGUAAUCCCUGUGGGACCACCUGUGGCGAAGGCGUCUUACCAGAACGGGUUCGACGGUGAGGGACGAAAGCUGGGGGCACGAACCGGAUUAGAUACCCGGGUAGUCCCAGCCGUAAACGAUGCUCGCUAGGUGUCAGGCAUGGCGCGACCGUGUCUGGUGCCGCAGGGAAGCCGUGAAGCGAGCCACCUGGGAAGUACGGCCGCAAGGCUGAAACUUAAAGGAAUUGGCGGGGGAGCACAACAACGGGUGGAGCCUGCGGUUUAAUUGGACUCAACGCCGGACAACUCACCGGGGACGACAGCAAUAUGUAGGCCAGGCUGAAGACCUUGCCUGAAUCGCUGAGAGGUGGUGCAUGGC
rnacentral:rRNA from 1 species